CCUACGGGAGGCAGCAGUCGAGAAUCAUUCACAAUGGGGGAAACCCUGAUGGUGCGACGCCGCGUGGGGGAAUGAAGUUCUUCGGAUUGUAAACCCCUGUCAUGUGGGAGCAAAUUAAAAAGAUAGUACCACAAGAGGAAGAGACGCCUAACUCUGUGCCAGCAGCCGCGGUAAUACAGAGGUCUCAAGCGUUGUUCGGAAUCACUGGGCGUAAAGCGUGCGUAGGCUGUUUCGUAAGUCGUGUGUGAAAGGCGCGGGCUCAACCCGCGGACGGCACAUGAUACUGCGAGACUAGAGUAAGGGAGGGGGAACCGGAAGUCUCGGUGUAGCAGUGAAAUGCGUAGAUAUCGAGAGGAACACUCGUGGCGAAGGCGGGUUCCUGGACAUUAACUGACGCUGAGGCACGAAGGCCAGGGGAGCGAAAGGGAUUAGAUACCCUUGUAGUC
rnacentral:rRNA from 1 species